rnacentral:rRNA from 1 species
GUGGGGAAUUUUGGACAAUGGGCGCAAGCCUGAUCCAGCAAUGCCGCGUGCAGGAAGAAGGCCUUCGGGUUGUAAACUGCUUUUGUCAGGGAAGAAAUCUUCUGGGCUAAUACCCCGGGAGGAUGACGGUACCUGAAGAAUAAGCACCGGCUAACUACGUGCCAGCAGCCGCGGUAAUACGUAGGGUGCGAGCGUUAAUCGGAAUUACUGGGCGUAAAGCGUGCGCAGGCGGCUUUGUAAGACAGAUGUGAAAUCCCCGGGCUCAACCUGGGAACUGCAUUUGUGACUGCAAGGCUAGAGUACGGCAGAGGGGGAUGGAAUUCCGCGUGUAGCAGUGAAAUGCGUAGAUAUGCGGAGGAACACCAAUGGCGAAGGCAAUCCCCUGGGCCUGUACUGACGCUCAUGCACGAAAGCGUGGGGAGCAAACAGGAUUAGAAACCCGGGUAGUCC